rnacentral:rRNA from 1 species
UUACCAUGCAAGUCGAACGCCCGAGCAAUCGGGAGUGGCAGACGGGUGAGUAACACGUGGGAACAUACCCUCAGGUUCGGAACAACGCCGGGAAACUGGCGCUAAUACCGGAUACGCCCUUUUGGGGAAAGGCUUGCUGCCUGAGGAUUGGCCCGCGUUCGAUUAGCUUGAUGGCGGGGUAACGGCCCACCAUGGCGACGAUCGAUAGCUGGUCUGAGAGGAUGGCCAGCCACAUUGGGACUGAGACACGGCCCAAACUCCUACGGGAGGCAGCAGUGGGGAAUAUUGGACAAUGGGCGCAAGCCUGAUCCAGCCAUGCCGCGUGAGUGAUGACGGCCUUAGGGUUGUAAAGCUCUUUCGCACGCGACGAUAAUGACGGUAGCGUGAGAAGAAGCCCCGGCUAACUUCGUGCCAGCAGCCGCGGUAAUACGAAGGGGGCUAGCGUUGUUCGGAAUCACUGGGCGUAAAGGGUGCGCAGGCGGGUUCAUAAGUCAGGGGUGAAAUCCCGAGGCUCAACCUCGGAACGGCCUUUGAUACUGUGGAUCUUGAGUCCGGAAGAGGUGAGUGGAACUGCGAGUGUAGAGGUGAAAUUCGUAGAUAUUCGCAAGAACACCGGUGGCGAAGGCGGCUCACUGGUCCGGAACUGACGCUGAGGCACGACAGCGUGGGGAGCAAACAGGAUUAGAUACCCUGGUAGUCCACGCCGUAACGAUGAAUGCCAGCCGUUGGGUGAUUUAUCACUGAGUGGCGCAGCUAACGCUUUGAGCAUUCGCCUGGGGAGUACGUCGCAGA